GGCGCACCCGCUCUUCCCAGCCACACGCUCGAUGUGCCUGCUGCUUGCCUUGGAGAGCCAGCGAGGGAGCCUGGCAGACGCCAAUCGACCAAAGCAGAGGAGAAGGUUGGGCAUCACUUUCCUUUUGGGUGAAGACCAAGGCAAAGUAGGUGAUGAGCAGUUCCACUUUCUGUCUGUCACCCAAUAGCAAUUUUCCAUCUUCUCCACGCAGAGGACCUAUCGCUUGCUUCUUCUUCCUCUUGCUUUGACCAUAGCCGAAGAAACCUUUUAAAAUUAUUUUUAAUCUCUCUUGCACACCUGAGCUCUUUCUGAGCUUUAGCCCACCUGACAUUCACCCUGCAACUGUUGGCUACUCAUGUAUACUCCUCCUUUGUGAUUUCCCCUUUCUUCCAUUUCAGGUGACAUACAUCAGUUUGCUUUCAGGCUCAUGCUUCCUCCGAAGGCCGUGUGCUUCUGUUUGCUCCACCUUUCAGUGUCCAAGUCUCUCUAAUUCUAAUCAAUCAUAGGGUUCAUAUUUUCUGUUCUUCAGCUACACCCAUGUAUUUUAAUGUACUGAAAACAUAUUUGGCAAAACUAUUUUGCUGAUGAUGGACAGGAGAGAGUAGAGGUGAUUAUGGCAUCCAUAGAAGGUGCUGUCAUCUAUGCAUAUCUGUGCAUGUUAUACUUUGCAUAAAACUCCCACUCUUCCUAGUUUAUAUGUCUGCAGUGCACUCAGAAUACAUGCUGGGCUGGGGGCUGUGGUAAAUGUGUGGGGUUAAAACCUUCAGAUCAUGACUGCACUGUACACCUCAUGAUCCUGCUGACUGAACAUAGUGUUGUGAGUUUUGGGGUGUGGGGAGAGCCUGUACCUGAGUGCCUUCUAAUUCCUGAAUUCAACAAGACACAUUUCUUGGCAAUGCCCUCUAAAUAUGGGUCAUUAAGGUAAGAAAGGAAGUGGUUCCGUGUCAGAGGAAAAAUGGGUGGGGGCCCUCCUUCAACUAGCUGCUAGUUAGAAGGACAAAAGCCAGGGUUGAAUUGUGUGAGCUAGAGGCUAGAAGCAGGCUGGGCACUUGAGAGACAGAGACAUGCCUGAUUUCUGCUGAGAGCCAUGGCCAUGGCUAUGGGAGAAGCAAGACCUUCUUGGGGUGUUGAUGCUGUGAGCCUCUCCGUUGUAGGCUCAGGUUGCAUAUGUGUGUAAAUAAACCAUAUAACAUAAUGAUA